GUGAAAUUUGCUUUUGCAGCUGUUCUUUACAAAAUGGCUCCCAUUGAAUAAUGAGUGUCCUGCUUUUUAUUUAAAAAUUUUCAACCCAUAUUAGUUUCCAAAUAACAACAUCAAGUUUGUUGGCUUUGCUGAACUUGGCUGCAGGGUUGACCAGUACUUACUGGCACGUGAGCAGGCGCCCGUCCUCCUUCUGUUGACUGCUUCUUCAGUUACAGGACUUCAUUUAAGAUGCUGAAAUAAACUCUAAUUGAAUGCACCAUCUGGAAACAUUGAACUACAUGGAGAAAGCAGUGGGAUCAAUUCACAUCAUCCUCCACACCCCCACUGGACGCAGAUACAGUCCCAUUCCAAGGACUAAGAGCAUGCUGAGCUUUGGAUUCUCUUUUUUUGUAAAGCCCCGUCACUACAACAUUCAAAAGACGUGUGAAAAUGUCUUUGACCAGCAGAGAGAAUGCAGAGCUAGUGCGGGACAAGUUGGUGGAAUAUAACAGUAAUGCCAAGAUUCUGGGGUUGGAGGGUCUCUUUGAACACAGGAUUCAUCACAUGCAAGUUGUGCAACCUUGGACAUGGAACUUAACCUACUCAUGCCUCAGUUUCCCCAGCUAUACAGUGGGGGUAAGAAAAGGGGCUGUAGGGGUGCCUGGGUGGCUCAGUCAUUAAGCGUCUGCCUUCGGCUCAGGGCGUGAUCCCGGCGUUAUGGGUUCGAGCCCCGCAUCAGACUCCUCCGCUGGGAGCCUGCUGCUUCCUCUCCCACUCCCCUGCUUGUGUUCCCUCUCUCGCUGGCUGUCUCUAUGUCAAAUAAAUAAAUAAAAAUCUUUAAAAAAAAAAAAAGAAAAGGAGCUGAGUGCUGGAGUUGUUUUGAAGAUUAAAUGAAUUCUCAUUUGUGAAGGUCUUGAAAGA
rnacentral:lncRNA from 1 species